rnacentral:rRNA from 1 species
AUUGAACGCUAGCGGGAUGCCUUACACAUGCAAGUCGAACGGCAGCGCGGACUUCGGUCUGGCGGCGAGUGGCGAACGGGUGAGUAAUGUAUCGGAACGUGCCCAGUAGCGGGGGACAACCACUCGAAAGAGUGGCUAAUACCGCAUACGCCUACGGGGAAAGGGGGGAGUCGCAAGACCUCUCACUAUUGGAGCGGCCGAUAUCGGAUUAGCUAGUUGGUGGGGUAAAGGCCUACCAAGGCGACGAUCCGUAGCUGGUUUGAGAGGACGACCAGCCACACUGGGACUGAGACACGGCCCAGACUCCUACGGGAGGCAGCAGUGGGGAAUUUUGGACAAUGGGGGAAACCCUGAUCCAGCCAUUCCGCGUGUGCGAUGAAGGCCUCGGUUGUAA